UUCUCUGUGGCGCAAUCGGUUAGCGCGUUCGGCUGUUAACCGAAAGGUUCGUGGUUCAAGCCCACCCCGGACGAAG
rnacentral:tRNA from 1 species